rnacentral:rRNA from 1 species
UACGUAGGUGACAAGCGUUGUCCGGAUUUACUGGGCGUAAAGAGCGCGCAGGCGGUCGUUCAAGUCGAGUGUGAAAGCCCCCGGCUCAACUGGGGAGGGUCACUCGAUACUGAUCGACUCGAAGGCAGGAGAGGGUAGUGGAAUUCCCGGUGUAGUGGUGAAAUGCGUAGAUAUCAGGAGGAACACCAGUGGCGAAGGCGACUACCUGGCCUGUUCUUGACGCUGAGGCGCGAAAGCUAGGGGAGCAAACGGG